ACAUCAUUUUCCUUAUUUAUUCAUAUCAAUAGUUACCAUUGUGCUAUUGUGUUUAUUUUUGAAAUAAUGAUGUUGUGGCCUGUUACUCCAUAGGGUCGGUAUAUAUACCGUCGUAGGGGCAUUAUUGUGACCAUAACCUAGUCUUUAGUAGUGAGAGUUCAUUGUGGCGAACAAAAUCAUGAAAGUAUUAAUUGUUUUGUGUGUGAUGUGCGUUUUGGUGGCUUUCAGUAAUGGGAAAGAAGAGAGGGGUCAUCAAAGAUCUGUUGAAAUUCGCCGGCACGAACCUGACGCACCAUACGCGCCACCAAUGCUGACGCUGCACAGACCUCGGGAGCCUUCAGAACGCUCAGCCCUGGAUCAUGACAUCGAAGACCAUGACGAUGAUGAUGAAGACUUGGAUGAUUUGAGCGAUGACGAAAUUUCCGUCUAACUUUCAAGUUCAAAACCACACAAACGUUAGGUUUCUUAAUACAACUCUUUAAAAUGGAUUUUCACGUUUCACGGUGCACUUUCUCGAUGCGUAAAUUAUCAUACAACUUAAUGACGUAGAAUUAAUUUUAGAACUGUUUAUUUAAUGAAAGCUGUCAUCGGCACUUGGUCGUACUAUAAACGCUUGCGAAAUAGUAGGUAAACGUCAUCAUCCGGAAAAAUGAAUGAGUGCUAUAUUCUAAUCAUGUCGUAGCAUACGACCCUUUACUUCAACCAAGUUAUACCUAAUUACGUAUCGAGCGCGUAAACUUACAAAACUCAGAAUCUCCACUCAGUUGUUUUAGGGAAGGUGCAUUUACCGUCUCGACGUUCGUGUUGGUGGUUUAAAUGGGCCUAAGGCGCUCUAGACGGUCAAAUUUGCGCAAUUUAAUUGAUCGUCUAGGUUGCUAAUAAGACUUUUGAUGAAGAGUCACCUACAUACAACCUAGAACAAGUACUUAUUGUGAUUCUACCUAAUGGACUAGAUAAAUAUCUUUAUCCAAAUUCUUUUUUCACCAUUAAAGUAUUUUAAAAUAA
rnacentral:lncRNA from 1 species